rnacentral:rRNA from 1 species
CCUACGGGUGGCAGCAGUGAGGAAUAUUGGUCAAUGGACGAGAGUCUGAACCAGCCAAGUAGCGUGAAGGAUGACUGCCCUAUGGGUUGUAAACUUCUUUUAUAUGGGACUAAAAUGUUCCACGUGUGGGCUUUUGUAUGUACCAUAUGAAUAAGGAUCGGCUAACUCCGUGCCAGCAGCCGCGGUAAUACGGAGGAUCCGAGCGUUAUCCGGAUUUAUUGGGUUUAAAGGGAGCGUAGGUGGAUUGUUAAGUCAGUUGUGAAAGUUUGCGGCUCAACCGUAAAAUUGCAGUUGAAACUGGCAGUCUUGAGUACAGUAGAGGUGGGCGGAAUUCGUGGUGUAGCGGUGAAAUGCUUAGAUAUCACGAAGAACUCCGAUUGCGAAGGCAGCUCACUGGACUGCAACUGACACUGAGGCUCGAAAGUGUGGGUAUCAAACAGGAUUAGAUACCCUAGUAGUC